rnacentral:rRNA from 1 species
GACGAACGCUGGCGGCGUGCUUAACACAUGCAAGUCGAGCGGAAAGGCCACUUCGGUGGUACUCGAGCGGCGAACGGGUGAGUAACACGUGAGUAAUCUGCCCCUCACUUUGGGAUAGCCACCGGAAACGGUGAUUAAUACCGGAUAUGACCAUAUGUCGCAUGGCGUGUGGUGGAAAGUUUUUCGGUGAGGGAUGUGCUCGCGGCCUAUCAGCUUGAUGGUGAGGUAAUGGCUCACCAUGGCUUCGACGGGUAGCCGGCCUGAGAGGGUGACCGGUCACACUGGGACUGAGACACGGCCCAGAGUCCUACGGGAGGCAGCAGUGGGGAAUAUUGGACAAUGGGCGGAAGCCUGAUCCAGCAACGCCGCGUGAGGGAUGACGGCCUUCGGGUUGUAAACCUCUUUCAGUACCGACGAAGCGCAAGUGACGGUAGGUACAGAAGAAGCACCGGCCAACUACGUG